rnacentral:lncRNA from 1 species
UAGAAUUGGGGGAAAUCUAAGGAAGUGUGUACAUAUCAUAGCAAUUUCGUUUUUCAAGCUUCAUUUUGUUUACCUCCUGUGGAGAGAACGUUGAUUAAGAUUUUGACAUAACCUAUGAGUUUAUUUUUAAAAUGGACUAAUUUAAGAAUGAGUGGUUUUGCCCUGAAGGAUAUUUGAGAACAAAAAGUACCAAGCCCAGCAAGAAUUAGGAACUCUCUUAUUUGGAAUCAGACAUGGAUUCUAGACAAGGCUUUUUAUCUGCCUUACAACUAGUAACUGUAAAAUAAUUAUUUUGGAGUUCUUUUAAUUUGUUACAUAAAUCUCUGUACUCUACUACCAUAGUUCAUGUCACACAGUCUUUUUCUUCCAAUAAUAUUUCAUUCUUGCAAUAUAGGAAAAAGUGAAACUUCUAAAGCCAAGAGGGAAUUGAAUAAUAUGUCAUGACCUUCAAAAAAAUAACAGGCUAUAAGGCUUGGUUUCUUUCUCAGAUUCUAAGGAACACAUGAUUGAAGAACUAAAUCCCACCUCACUAUAUAUAAAAAAUUCCAUAGAAUGCUUUGAUUCUGAAGGCUAGGAGUUCAAAGAGAUCAAGAAAAACUUUACAUGGAACACCAGAAAAAAGAAAUGUAGACAUUCUGAAGAUUUGAGAUAGCUAUUUAUGCCUAAGAACUGGAGGCCUAGAUCAACUUUUGUUUUCCUUUAAAAAAUGUUUGCUGUUCUAGUAAAAAUCAUAACUUAUUUGUGGUUUGCGUUCCUUAUCAAAGUGUGAGUAUAAAUUUGCUUUUGUAUAAAGUAAAAGAUGUCUCUAUUUGAAUACUCAUAACUGCAUUAAAAUUAAUAUAUGA